UACAUAGGUCUCGAGCGUUGUUCGGAUUCAUUGGGCGUAAAGGGUGCGUAGGCGGCGCGGUAAGUCGGGUGUGAAAUCUUGGAGCUGAACUCCGAAACUGCAUUCGAUACUGCCGUGCUUGAGGACUGGAGAGGAGACUGGAAUUUACGGUGUAGCGGUGAAAUGCGUAGAUAUCGUAAGGAAGACCAGUGGCGAAGGCGGGUCUCUGGACAGUUCCUGACGCUGAGGCACGAAGGCCAGGGGAGCAAACGGG
rnacentral:rRNA from 1 species